GCCGGUGGAGCUCAGAUGGUAGAGCAGCUGACUUGUAAUCAGCAGGUCGUCCGUUCGAUCCGGAUCGCCGGCUCCA
rnacentral:tRNA from 1 species